rnacentral:rRNA from 1 species
CGUAGGAACCGAGCGUUGUCCGGAUUUACUGGGCGUAAAGUGCGCGUAGGCGGUCCGUUAAGUCUCAUGUGAAAUCUCCCGGCUCAACUGGGAGGGGUCAUGGGAUACUGGCAGACUGGAGUGCAGUAGAGGAAAGCGGAAUUCCCGGAGUAGUGGUGGAAUGCGUAGAUACCGGGAGGAACACCAGAGGCGAAGGCGGCUUUCUGGGCUGUAACUGACGCUGAGGCGCGAAAGCGUGGGUAGCAAACCGGAUUAGAUACCCGGGUAGUCCACGCCCUAAACGAUGGAUACUAGGCAUGGGGGGUAUCGACCCCCUCCGUGCCGCAGCUAACGCAAUAAGUAUCCCGCCUGAGGAGUACGGCCGCAAGGCUAAAACUCAAAGGAAUUGACGGGGACCCGCACAAGCAGCGGAUCGUGUGGUUUAAUUCGAUGAUAAGCGAAGAACCUUACCAGGGCUUGAAUGCUUCUGACCGGCUGUGAAAGCAGCCUUUCCUUCGGGACAGUUGCACAGAUGUUGCAUGGCUGUCGUCAGCUCGUGUCGUGAGAUGUUGGGUUAAGUCCCGCAACGAGCGCAACCCCUGUCGCUAGUUAGGAUGUCUAGCGAGACUGCCCCCACUGGGGUGAGGAAGGUGGGGUCGAGGUCAAGUCAUCAUGGCUCUUACGCCCUGGGCUACACACACGCUACAAUGGUCGGAACAGAGGGUCGCGAUGGUGCGAGCCGGAGCUAAUCCCAAAAAUCUGGCCCCAGUUGGAAUUGCAGGCUGAAACCCGCCUGCAUGAACGCGGAGUCGCUAGUAAUCGCAGGUCAGCACACUGCGGUGAAUACGUUCCCGGGGAUUG